AGAACGAACGCUGGCGGCAUGCCUAAUACAUGCAAGUCGAACGAACUCUUCGGAGUUAGUGGCGCACGGGUGCGUAACGCGUGGGAAUCUGCCCCUUGGUUCGGAAUAACAGUUGGAAACGACUGCCAAUACCGGAUGAUGACGAAAGUCCAAAGAUUUAUCGCCAAGGGAUGAGCCCGCGUAGGAUUAGCUAGUUGGUGAGGCAAAGGCUCACCAAGGCAACGAUCCUUAGCUGGUCUGAGAGGAUGAUCAGCCACACUGGGACUGAGACACGGCCCAGACUCCUACGGGAGGCAGCAGUAGGGAAUAUGGACAGUGGGCGAAAGCUGAUCAGCAAUGCCGCGUGAGUGAUGAAGGCUUAGGGUGUAAACGCUACGUUUACCGAGUAUAGAUAAGUGACUAGUAGUACGGAGUAAAUAACGGCCCCGGAC
rnacentral:rRNA from 1 species